UACGUAGGGGGCUAGCGUUGUCCGGAAUCAUUGGGCGUAAAGCGCGUGUAGGCGGUCCGGUAAGUCCGCUGUGAAAGUCGGGGGCUCAACCCUCGAAUGCCGGUGGAUACUGUCGGGCUAGAGUGCGGAAGAGGCGAGUGGAAUUCCCGGUGUAGCGGUGAAAUGCGCAGAUAUCGGGAGGAACACCAAUGGCGAAGGCAGCUCGCUGGGACGGUACUGACGCUGAGGCGCGAAAGCGUGGGGAGCAAACAGG
rnacentral:rRNA from 1 species